AUGGAAAAACAGGGAAGCAGCCACCAGCUGGACACCUUCGCUCAACUGGACGGCGGGGCGGCGCCGGAGGAGCCGAUCGGCGGUGGCGCGGGAGCUGAGAUGGUGGACUACAUGCUGGGCCAGACGACGCCGCUGCCUCCGGGUGGGCCGCACGGCCAGGUGUCCUUGGACAAGCUCAGCUUCUCCGACGUGCUACAGUUCGCCGACUUCGGCCCCAGGCUCGCGCUCAACCAGCCGUCUGCCGACCACGACGACGCCCGUGACGACGACGAGGAGGACAGCUACUUCUUCAGGUUCCAGUCCCAGCUCUCCGGCUCGGACGACCCCGAUCCCCGCGGAGGCGCAGGUAUCCACCACGCUGCGGAGCACGAGGGCAGCAAGACGGCGGACGGAUCAGGAGGCCCGCACGAUCACGGCGGCGGCGUCUCCGAGAGCACCACGCUGGUCCAGCAGUCCGACGGCGGCGGCAGGGUCGGCCAGAAGGCUGGCGGGGAGCAGGCGAAGAGCGGGCGGCGGAAGCGGCCCCGGUCGACCAAGACCAGCGAGGAGGUGGAGAGCCAGCGGAUGACGCACAUCGCCGUCGAGCGCAACCGGCGGAGACAGAUGAACGAUUACCUCAGGGUCCUCAGGUCCCUCAUGCCAGGAUCCUACGUCCAAAGGGGAGAUCAAGCAUCCAUCAUAGGCGGAGCCAUAGAGUUCAUACGUGAGCUAGAGCAGCUAAUCCAGUGCCUCGAGUCACAGAAGCGGCGGCGCCUGUACGGCGACACGCCACGGCCGGUCGCUGACGCGUCCGCCCCAGUGGUGCCGGCGACAUCCAUCCACGAGCCGCCACCGCAAGGGCACGAGGCUCCGCCAUUCUACGUCUCCCCGAGCCUCUCGUUCCCUGCGGCGGGGAACGGUGACGGUGCCGCCGGUGCCAAGGUGAUGAUCGACCUCGACACGUGCGGCGGCGGGCUCCGUGAGGAGGUGGCCGAGAACAAGUCGAGCCUGGCGGACAUCGAGGUGCGCGUGCUGGGCGAGGACGCGGUGAUCAAGGUCCUGUCUCGCCGCCGGCCGGAGCAGCUGAUCAAGACCAUCGCCGUGCUGGAGGAGAUGCACAUGUCCAUCCUCCACACCAACAUCACCACCAUCGAGCAGACCGUCCUCUACUCCUUCAACGUCAAGAUCACGAGCGAGCCAAGAUUCACGGCGGAGGAGAUCGUCGGCGCCGUCCACCAGAUCCUCAGCUUCAUCGACGUCAACUACACGUUAUGA
rnacentral:rRNA from 1 species